rnacentral:sRNA from 1 species
ACUCAACGUUAAUUCUUUAAAAAGGGUGAGUUUAAGUUGUAAAAGCAAGCUGCCUUGAGCAGAUCCUUGAUCAGCUUGUUAGCCCUAAACUUAUUUUUAAGGAGUUU